rnacentral:lncRNA from 1 species
AGCACCGAGAUAAGUCCGAGAGCUUCGUUCCGCCGACGCCGGUACAUCCAAAUUGGUCUGCAAGCCAGUUUUGCUGACGCUUCAUCGCGUUGCUACCGCUCAGGGGUGUACGAUAUGCCCAUGCAGUUCUCGACCAGAUGCUCGCUCCCAAGGAACCCAUAAUGGGACAUGGUAGACUCCGUCGGGCGGAGGAUGACAAAUAUAUGCAUACAUGCAGCUGCAACCUCCCUUCCUUCUACCCAAUUCAGUUUCACUUCCACCUCCUUUGGAUUGAUUGAUGCACUAUUGUCGACCAUGAUGCAUCAUUAAUAUCACACGUCAAAGCAGCAAUACAGGUAGACAAUGUUUCAGCAAGAUCUGAGCAUUUUUUCUGUGAUUCACUAAUGUAGUCUGAUCACCCACUUUUUUACGGGGCGCAUUUAAGAAAUUAAUAAUCAGUAAAAGAUCACCCACUUUUUUUGAUUUUUUUUUUCGAAAAGGGGAAGCGAUCCCUGGCCUCUGCAUCAAUUGAUGCACACAACCAUUUUUAUUGCAAAGUGAUCAAAAGUCAUACAAUUCACUGAUCAGCGAUAGUCGAUACAAAGAUAAGCCAAUGAAAUAGCUCUAACAAGAUGAAAUUAUGCAUCUAGACAUCUAGUACACCGCCAGACAGCCUGGCUGAAGAUAUCCCGAGCGACCAUCUCCAGUCGGUUGCAUCCAGUAUCCAAAGGUUUCCGCAGACGCGCAGGAAGCAGGAAAGCCCACAGUCCGAUCCAAUGGGUAGCUCUGAAAACAACCUGCAAAAAAUGUGGAACUCUGGUUCUAUUAAAAACAACAUGAUUUCUGCAGUUCCAAAUAGCCCAACAAAAAGCUGAAACUCCCAUUCGAAUAUGAGCCUUAAUUUUGUUGUCUAACCCAUUAAGCCAGUUGCCAAAUAAAUUAGUAAUCAAAGUCGGUGGAGGCAGACUAAAAGUAAUAUAAAUGAUGCGACACACAAUGUGAGCUAAAGGACA